UACGGAGAGUUUGAUCCUGGCUCAGGAUGAACGCUGGCGGUAUGCCUUACACAUGCAAGUCGUACGAGAGUUUUUAACUCUAGUGGCGGACGGGUGAGUAACACGUGGGUAACCUACCUAUAAGACUGGGAUAACUUCGGGAAACCGGAGCUAAUACCGGAUAAUAUAUUGAACCGCAUGGUUCAAUAGUGAAAGACGGUUUUGCUGUCACUUAUAGAUGGAUCCGCGCCGCAUUAGCUAGUUGGUAAGGUAACGGCUUACCAAGGCAACGAUGCGUAGCCGACCUGAGAGGGUGAUCGGCCACACUGGAACUGAGACACGGUCCAGACUCCUACGGGAGGCAGCAGCGG
rnacentral:rRNA from 1 species